AUUGAACGCUGGCGGCGUGCCUAACACAUGCAAGUCGAGCGGUAACAGGUGUAGCAAUACAUGCUGACGAGCGGCGAACGGGUGAGUAAUGCUUCGGAAUCUACCUUAUGGUGGGGAAUAACUAGCCGAAAGGUUAGCUAAUACCGCAUACGUCCUACGGGAGAAAGCAGGGGAUCGCAAGACCUUGCGCCAAAAGAUGAGCCGAAGUCGGAUUAGCUAGUUGGUAGGGUAACGGCCUACCAAGGCGACGAUCCGUAGCUGGUCUGAGAGGACGACCAGCCACACUGGGACUGAGACACGGCCCAGACUCCUACGGGAGGCAGCAGUGGGGAAUAUUGGACAAUGGGGGAAACCCUGAUCCAGCGACGCCGCGUGUGUGAAGAAGGCCUGCGGGUUGUAAAGCACUUUUAGUGGGGAUGAAAUGUGCAGGGUUAAUACCUCUGCAUUUUGACCUAACCCACAGAAAAAGCACCGGUUAACUCUGUGCCAGCCGCCGCGGUAAUAC
rnacentral:rRNA from 1 species